UAUGACAGCUUCCUCAGGUUUUCAUGAAAUCUUCUGAUUUGAAGCGGCACGAGUCUUCGAAUAAAAGAUGAACAAACGCAAGUCCCUGGUAAAUGGAGAAAAGGCGGCUGAAGUUGGAAUAAAUUAUGACAAAUAGAAGCCAGUUCCACAGCAGCGCUUUCAUUGUAUUGUGUGCUUUUAACUAGGAACGCUACAUGAUGUGCCUGCUGUGAGAUGAUAUAUACUUGCCAUGCAUGCUGAGACGUAAAUUAACGCAAUCAAGUUUUUUUUUUUGCGUAGCGACUACAACAACAGUACCAGAGGAGCCCUCCGCAAUGAAGACUUCUGAAGUGUCAGUCACAGCGACUACGACAAUAGUACCAGAGGAGCCCUCCACAAUGAAGACUUCGGAAGUGCCAGUCACAGUGAUUAUGACAGCAGUCCCGGAGGAGCCCUCCACAAUGAGGACUUCUGAACCGUCCGUCUCAGGCAAUGAUACUUUCUUAUUGUCUUUCUUAUGCACAUAUAACUUUAGAAGUCAUAUGUGAAUCUAAAGCGAAUGUUGAUGUAGCUGUGAGAUAUAUCAUGGAACUACAGCUUACGCUAGAUAUUUAUUUAUUUCUAUAUUUGGAGGUUCUAGAGUCUGUAUAUUUAUAAAUAUAGCUUCU